CCAAGCCCUGUGUGACAUUCCAAUUCUGGCUGCCUGCCCAGGAAGUGAGUUACUUUCACUUUCAUUCCUCAGCAGGCAGGCAGCCUCCCCUCCCCCCACCUACCCCCAGCACCUCACCCAACCCAGCCCUGACGGAGGGGAGGGAGGAGAGAGAGAGGGGUGCUCCUGGGGAGGAGGGAGAAAGGAGGGGGUGCUCCGUGGGGCAGGGGGGAGAAGAAUGGAUGUUAUGGGAGACAACAAAGGAUACUGGUUCCAGAGCCACAGCCUCACCUGACCUCAGCCGGGGGGAAAGAGUCACACUCACAGAGCAUGGAUGGUUCUGAGGCCUGCAGUCAACAGUCCAGAAAGUGUGCCUGAUAGAUUUAACUGACAGUUUCCUCUGACUAGUGUGUGGCUAUGGGGCCAACUGGAUGAGCAGUUCAGCAUCAGAAGCUUUGAAAUGAAAAACAAACAGUGACUUACAUUCCUGCGUUAUCUUUCAUUUGAAAGGAUCCCAGAGUGCUUUACAAGCUGCACAGAAUGAUCACUCACCCGUCACUGAAUUGCAGCUUCCUUUGGGUUAGCACACAGCUGCCAUUCUGGAAUGUGAUUGCUUGGAAUUAACAAUGGAUUGUUCAUUCUGCAAUGUCAGAGCGAAAAGUCACCGAGUGGAACAAGAACCUUUAUUGAUAAGAUUGCAAUAUCGCUGCUACCUGUAACAAAGAUGUCAAUCUUCAUUUGCUCCCUGCACAGGUCAUGCAGGUGAAUGAACUUCUUGUGUGUUCACAAAUUCUGAACGGAGGUUGUAGUACUUUGUUAAUUCUAUUCCAGGCAAUGUGGCUCCUACAGACUGAGAAUUUAUCACUUAGGAAGAUGACACAUGGAGUGGGGCAAAAACAUGUUGGAAACUUGUUUAAAAAAACAAAUAAAAGAUCACCCACAACCCACACACUAGUGGAAAAAAGGCAGAUUU